GUGGGGAAUAUUGCGCAAUGGGGGCAACCCUGACGCAGCCAUGCCGCGUGUGUGAAGAAGGCCUUCGGGUUGUAAAGCACUUUCAAUGGGGAAGAAAAGCGUAGCGUUAAUAGCGUUGCGCCGUGACGUUACCCAUAGAAGAAGCACCGGCUAACUCCGUGCCAGCAGCCGCGGUAAUACGGAGGGUGCGAGCGUUAAUCGGAAUUACUGGGCGUAAAGCGCGCGUAGGCGGUUUGUUAAGUCAGCUGUGAAAGCCCCGGGCUUAACCUGGGAACUGCAGUUGAUACUGGCCGACUAGAGUACGAGAGAGGGAGGUAGAAUUCCAUGUGUAGCGGUGAAAUGCGUAGAUAUAUGGAGGAAUACCGGUGGCGAAGGCGGCCUCCUGGCUCGAUACUGACGCUGAGGUGCGAAAGCGUGGGGAUCAAACAGGAUUAGAAACCCCAGUAGUCC
rnacentral:rRNA from 1 species